CCUACGGGUGGCAGCAGUGAGGAAUAUUGGUCAAUGGGCGGGAGCCUGAACCAGCCAAGUCGCGUGAGGGAAGACGGUCCUAUGGAUUGUAAACCUCUUUAGGCGGGGAGCAAUGCCGGGCACGCGUGCCCGGAGGGAGAGUACCCGCAGAAUAAGCAUCGGCUAACUCCGUGCCAGCAGCCGCUGUAAGUGGGAGGAUGCGAGCGUUAUCGGGUUUUUGUGGGUUUAAAGGGUGCGUAGGCGGAUUUUUAAGUCAGCGGUAAAGUGUUCGGACUAAACCGGGGCCGGCAGUUGAAACUGGGGGUCUUGAGUGGGCGAGAAGUAUGCGGAAUUCGUGGUGUAGCGGUGAAAUGCUUAGAUAUCACGAAGAACUCCGAUUGCGAAGGCAGCUUACUAAUCUGCCACUGACAUUGAUGCUCGAAAGUGUGGGUAUCAAACAGGAUUAGAUACCCUUGUAGUC
rnacentral:rRNA from 1 species